CAGGAUCAAUACCUUAGGAAAAAAAAAGUAAUCUGAGAUAUACAGACAUUUUGAAUUGUCUAUCAUACCCUAUAACACACAGCUGGAGAAAGAUAGUUAAGAAGAAGCCUGAAUACAACACUCUCCAUUACUUGCAUAAGGUACAGCCUUCAUUAACCAGGAAAGGUAGACUGGAUCACUCUAGGAAAAAGUAAAGGAUGGUGCUGGUCAGAGAAUCCUUCCCUAGAUAAGGAAGACAGUCAUUUUCCGUCCUUUCUCCUCCUCUCCAGCACUGGAAUUAAACAGAAGAAAACUGCACUCACCUCAUCCUUUCCCAAGAUGAAGGGAACAAAGGGAAAAACUACUACAGCUCCUACUGGAGCAGAAGUGAUUAUUUAUGUCUGAAACUGAAGCAGAGGUCAGAAGUUUAUGUGAUUGUGAAGUUGCAGUCAAGUGAGCGGUGGGGUUGAUUUGAGAGAGAAAAUGACUUCCUGAAUUUAGGAUUCAACAGCCAGAAUGGCUAGGUACACACAACCUUUCAGUUAAGUCGAUUAUUGAACUUCAGGAGCUUCAGAAAGAUAUUUUUAUACCUUUAAGAAUUCUACUAAUUUCAGUGGAAAUUUCAGUGCAGACUUGUAAUAUGAAGGUCAAUAAAAAUUACUUCACCAUUUCUAGUUUAUUUUUGUGGAUUAGAAUUUGGGAAUAAUACUUUUGAGUUUCUCUGUAUAAGUAUUAAUUUCAGGGAAAGUGGAUGAAUUUGAAAAACUGUGAUAUGAUUAUUUUUUCAUAUUUUAACUUUUUUUGUGUGUGUGUUUGUUUUGGUGAGUCUUAUAAGGCUUUCCAGAUUUCUUUUCUCUGUUAAUCUAUG